AAAAAAUCACAUCUGAAAUGCUUUAAGGGAAGAUUCAUCUGCUUGGCAGACAAUGGACUUUCUCCCUCAGAGUUAAAUCUGACAAGAAAAUUCCAUGAUUUGAAGAUUAUGCUGUUUUCUUCCUGUUAGUAACCAAAAUCAUGCAUCAUUUUGUCUGGAAAAAAGAUUCUAUUACUUUUUGAGCAAUACUUGUAACUGUUGAACUUUUUUUUUUUUUUCCUGGAAAACAGUGCUGUUUCACUACCUGGUAAAAUGAAGAGUUAAAGUAAAAGGAAAUGGUGUGUGACAUCAGACCUGAGGCCAAGUCCUUAAUUUGUUUUCUUGCUAAUACUGAACUCAAGGAAAUCAACUGGAUCCUUGCCUGAGGCGAAAUGAUGCUUGGUCACAUCACUUGAUCCAGUUCUUCAAUCAGGAAAUGAGGGAUAAUUUACCUGACUCAAAUGCACAAUUCACAAUCCAAGUAACUACUGGAGUACCAACAAGCCAUGAGGAAUCUGAAGCAGACAUUACCAUCAGAAGGGCUGUAUGCUGCAGUUGUGGAAGUUCCAAGGAAGAACUGUGAGGAUGAGUUUAAACUUGAUCAAGAAUCACAGGAUGGCCAGGGUUGGAAGGGAC